rnacentral:rRNA from 1 species
GUGGUAGGGGAGCUUACUGCAACAGGCUGAAGGUCGACCGAGAGGACGGCUGGACGAAGCAGUAGUGAGAAUGCCGGAAUAAGUAGCGAGAGUAAAGUGAGAAUCUUUACCGUCGAAAGCCUAAGGUUUCCUGGGGAAGGUUCGUCCGCCCAGGGUAAGUCGGGACCUAAGCCGAGGCCGAAAGGCGUAGGUGAUGGACAACAGGUUGAUAUUCCUGUACUACCGUUACUCGCUUGAGAGAAGUGGGGACGCAGGGGGAAUAGUUAAGCGAGCGACUGGAAGAGCUCGUCCAAGGGAGAUAGAUAGUCCGGCAGGCAAAUCCGCCGGAUGUUUCGAAGGCCCGAUGGGGAGGGAAAUUAGAGUACCGAAGUAACGAUUUCCGCACUGACGAGAAAAGCCACUAUCGAGAGUAAAGGUACCCGUACCGCAAACCGACACAGGUAGGUGAGGAGAGAAUCCUAAGACGAGCGGGAGAAGCGUUGUUAAGGAACUCGGCAAAUUGACCCCGUAAGUUCGCGAGAAGGGGUGCCUCGAAGGAGGCCGCAGUGAAACGGCCCAAGCAACUGUUUAGCAAAAACACAGGUCUCUGCUAAAUCGAAAGAUGACGUAUAGGGGCUGACGCCUGCCCGGUGCUGGAAGGUUACGGGGAUCUGUUAGCGCAAGCGAAGCAGUGAACUUAAGCCCCAGUAAACGGCGGCCGUAACUAUAACGGUCCUAAGGUAGCGAAAUUCCUUGUCGGGUAAGUUCCGACCCGCACGAAUGGCGUAAUGACUUGGGCACUGUCUCGACAACGCGCCCGGUGAAAUUGUAGUACUCGUGAAGAUGCGAGUUACCCGCGACAAGACGGAAAGACCCCAUGGAGCUUUACUGCAGCCUGAUACUGGGUUUCGGUAUUUUUUGUACAGGAUAGGUGGGAGACUGAGAAGCGUGGGCGCCAGCUUACGUGGAGUCGUCGUUGGGAUACCACUCUAAAAGUACUGAGGCUCUAACCAGAGUCUGUGAACCAGGCUUGGGACACUGUCAGGUGGGCAGUUUGACUGGGGCGGUCGCCUCCCAAAAGGUAACGGAGGCGUCCAAAGGUUACCUCAGCGCGGUUGGAAAUCGCGCAUC